rnacentral:rRNA from 1 species
UACGAAGGGUGCAAGCGUUAAUCGGAAUUACUGGGCGUAAAGGGUGCGUAGGCGGUUGUUUAAGUCUGUCGUGAAAUCCCCGGGCUCAACCUGGGAAUGGCGAUGGAUACUGGGCAGCUAGAGUGUGUCAGAGGAUGGUGGAAUUCCCGGUGUAGCGGUGAAAUGCGUAGAUACCGGAAAGAAUACCAGAAGCGAAGGCGACUCACUGGACUUACUCUGACGCUGAGGCGCGAAAGCGUGGGGAGCAAACAGG